rnacentral:rRNA from 2 species
UUAAGCGACUAAGCGUACACGGUGGAUGCCCUGGCAGUCAGAGGCGAUGAAGGACGUGCUAAUCUGCGAUAAGCGUCGGUGAGGUGAUAUGAACCGUUAUAACCGGCGAUUUCCGAAUGGGGAAACCCAGUGUGUUUCGACACACUAUCAUUAACUGAAUCCAUAGGUUAAUGAGGCGAACCGGGGGAACUGAAACAUCUAAGUACCCCGAGGAAAAGAAAUCAACCGAGAUUCCCCCAGUAGCGGCGAGCGAACGGGGAGGAGCCCAGAGCCUGAAUCAGUGUGUGUGUUAGUGGAAGCGUCUGGAAAGGCGCGCGAUACAGGGUGACAGCCCCGUACACAAAAAUGCACAUACUGUGAGCUCGAUGAGUAGGGCGGGACACGUGGUAUCCUGUCUGAAUAUGGGGGGACCAUCCUCCAAGGCUAAAUACUCCUGACUGACCGAUAGUGAACCAGUACCGUGAGGGAAAGGCGAAAAGAACCCCGGCGAGGGGAGUGAAAAAGAACCUGAAACCGUGUACGUACAAGCAGUGGGAGCCUCUUAAUGGGGUGACUGCGUACCUUUUGUAUAAUGGGUCAGCGACUUAUAUUCUGUAGCAAGGUUAACCGAAUAGGGGAGCCGAAGGGAAACCGAGUCUUAACUGGGCGUUAAGUUGCAGGGUAUAGACCCGAAACCCGGUGAUCUAGCCAUGGGCAGGUUGAAGGUUGGGUAACACUAACUGGAGGACCGAACCGACUAAUGUUGAAAAAUUAGCGGAUGACUUGUGGCUGGGGGUGAAAGGCCAAUCAAACCGGGAGAUAGCUGGUUCUCCCCGAAAGCUAUUUAGGUAGCGCCUCGUGAAUUCAUCUCCGGGGGUAGAGCACUGUUUCGGCAAGGGGGUCAUCCCGACUUACCAACCCGAUGCAAACUGCGAAUACCGGAGAAUGUUAUCACGGGAGACACACGGCGGGUGCUAACGUCCGUCGUGAAGAGGGAAACAACCCAGACCGCCAGCUAAGGUCCCAAAGUCAUGGUUAAGUGGGAAACGAUGUGGGAAGGCCCAGACAGCCAGGAUGUUGGCUUAGAAGCAGCCAUCAUUUAAAGAAAGCGUAAUAGCUCACUGGUCGAGUCGGCCUGCGCGGAAGAUGUAACGGGGCUAAACCAUGCACCGAAGCUGCGGCAGCGACGCUUAUGCGUUGUUGGGUAGGGGAGCGUUCUGUAAGCCUGCGAAGGUGUGCUGUGAGGCAUGCUGGAGGUAUCAGAAGUGCGAAUGCUGACAUAAGUAACGAUAAAGCGGGUGAAAAGCCCGCUCGCCGGAAGACCAAGGGUUCCUGUCCAACGUUAAUCGGGGCAGGGUGAGUCGACCCCUAAGGCGAGGCCGAAAGGCGUAGUCGAUGGGAAACAGGUUAAUAUUCCUGUACUUGGUGUUACUGCGAAGGGGGGACGGAGAAGGCUAUGUUGGCCGGGCGACGGUUGUCCCGGUUUAAGCGUGUAGGCUGGUUUUCCAGGCAAAUCCGGAAAAUCAAGGCUGAGGCGUGAUGACGAGGCACUACGGUGCUGAAGCAACAAAUGCCCUGCUUCCAGGAAAAGCCUCUAAGCAUCAGGUAACAUCAAAUCGUACCCCAAACCGACACAGGUGGUCAGGUAGAGAAUACCAAGGCGCUUGAGAGAACUCGGGUGAAGGAACUAGGCAAAAUGGUGCCGUAACUUCGGGAGAAGGCACGCUGAUAUGUAGGUGAGGUCCCUCGCGGAUGGAGCUGAAAUCAGUCGAAGAUACCAGCUGGCUGCAACUGUUUAUUAAAAACACAGCACUGUGCAAACACGAAAGUGGACGUAUACGGUGUGACGCCUGCCCGGUGCCGGAAGGUUAAUUGAUGGGGUUAGCGGUAACGCGAAGCUCUUGAUCGAAGCCCCGGUAAACGGCGGCCGUAACUAUAACGGUCCUAAGGUAGCGAAAUUCCUUGUCGGGUAAGUUCCGACCUGCACGAAUGGCGUAAUGAUGGCCAGGCUGUCUCCACCCGAGACUCAGUGAAAUUGAACUCGCUGUGAAGAUGCAGUGUACCCGCGGCAAGACGGAAAGACCCCGUGAACCUUUACUAUAGCUUGACACUGAACAUUGAGCCUUGAUGUGUAGGAUAGGUGGGAGGCUUUGAAGUGUGGACGCCAGUCUGCAUGGAGCCGGCCUUGAAAUACCACCCUUUAAUGUUUGAUGUUCUAACGUUGGCCCCUGAUCGGGGUUGCGGACAGUGUCUGGUGGGUAGUUUGACUGGGGCGGUCUCCUCCUAAAGAGUAACGGAGGAGCACGAAGGUUGGCUAAUCCUGGUCGGACAUCAGGAGGUUAGUGCAAUGGCAUAAGCCAGCUUGACUGCGAGCGUGACGGCGCGAGCAGGUGCGAAAGCAGGUCAUAGUGAUCCGGUGGUUCUGAAUGGAAGGGCCAUCGCUCAACGGAUAAAAGGUACUCCGGGGAUAACAGGCUGAUACCGCCCAAGAGUUCAUAUCGACGGCGGUGUUUGGCACCUCGAUGUCGGCUCAUCACAUCCUGGGGCUGAAGUAGGUCCCAAGGGUAUGGCUGUUCGCCAUUUAAAGUGGUACGCGAGCUGGGUUUAGAACGUCGUGAGACAGUUCGGUCCCUAUCUGCCGUGGGCGCUGGAGAACUGAGGGGGGCUGCUCCUAGUACGAGAGGACCGGAGUGGACGCAUCACUGGUGUUCGGGUUGUCAUGCCAAUGGCACUGCCCGGUAGCUAAAUGCGGAAGAGAUAAGUGCUGAAAGCAUCUAAGCACGAAACUUGCCCCGAGAUGAGUUCUCCCUGACUCCUUGAGAGUCCUGAAGGAACGUUGAAGACGACGACGUUGAUAGGCCGGGUGUGUAAGCGCAGCGAUGCGUUGAGCUAACCGGUACUAAUGAACCGUGAGGCUUAACCUU